UACAGAGGUCUCAAGCGUUGUUCGGAUUCAUUGGGCGUAAAGGGUGUGUAGGUGGCGCCGUAAGUCGGGUGUGAAAUUUCGGAGCUUAACUCCGAAACUGCAUUCGAUACUGCGGUGCUUGAGGACUGGAGAGGAGACUGGAAUUCAUGGUGUAGCAGUGAAAAUGCGUAGAGAUCAUGAGGAAGACCAGUGGCGAAGGCGGGUCUCUGGACAGUUCCUGACACUGAGACACGAAGGCCAGGGGAGCAAACAGG
rnacentral:rRNA from 1 species